UUGCAGCCAGUUAAACCAACUGUGCUCUUUCCCCAUUGGGGCCCAGUGUGCAAUGGCUAUAAACAGCAGCCUCCUCAGUAGUGUAUGCAGCCGUUGCCUGUACAAGUUUCCCUAAGGGACCUUGGAGACAACC
ensembl:snoRNA SNORA70 Small nucleolar RNA SNORA70